rnacentral:sRNA from 1 species
GUCCGCUCGAACAAAGCUUUGAGGGAGAACUCGGUCAAAACAAUGAUUGUAUGAGCAUGGAAAUAGUGUGCCAACUUCCUAGAGGCCAUUAUCAAGGCCAACGCAAGUUUUUCAGUGGCAAGUAUCUCAACUCUGCCGGUAGCAAGGUUUUACUUACGUAGAAGAUAGGGAGGUGCUUGAUUCCUUCCGACCGGACAAGUACCGCACUAACUGCAUGCUGAGAAACGGCCAGAUAAAGGUAAAGUUCCUCGCCGGGCUUCGGUGUUACCAACAGUGGUGCAAAAGACAGAUACUCCUUGAGCUCGGCCAAAGCCCGGUCACAUUUUUCAUCCCAUGAGAACUUUGAUUUCAAAGCUCGAAAGAAAGGGCGGCAGCGAUCUAAUGACCGGCUUAUGAAUCGGUUAAGCGCGGCGGCUAUUCCGGCCAGAUGCUGCACAUCCUUAGCCGAGCUCGGCUGCUUUAAUUCUUGUACGACUCUGAUUUGUGUGGGGUCUGCCUCAAUGCCUCGAUUUGUAACUAGGAAGCCUAAGAAUUUUUUGGAUCCCACGCCAAAGGCACACUUGGACACAUUCAGGCGUAGCUUGUGCCGUUUGAGAAUGGUGAACGUCUCAGCCAAGUCAAACAAGUGGUCUGCUUGAUGCCGGCUUUUGACCACCAUAUCAUCAAUAUAAGCCUCCAUUGUC